UACAGAGGCCUCGAGCGUUAGGCGGAAUUAUUGGGCGUAAAGCGCACGUAGGCGGCUUUGUAAGUCGGAUGUGAAAUCCCUCGGCUUAACCAAGGAAGUGCAUCCGAAACUACAGAGCUUGAGUACUUAAGAGGAUCGCGGAAUUCCCGGUGUAGAGGUGAAAUUCGUAGAUAUCGGGAGGAACACCAGUGGCGAAGGCGGCGAUCUGGGAAGAUACUGACGCUGAGGUGCGAAAGCGUGGGGAGCAAACAGG
rnacentral:rRNA from 1 species